rnacentral:rRNA from 1 species
UCUGACCUCAAAUCAGGUAGGAAUACCCGCUGAACUUAAGCAUAUCAAUAAGCGGAGGAAAAGAAACUAACAAGGAUUCCCGUAGUAACUGCGAGUGAAGUGGGAAAAGCUCAAAUUUGAAAUCUGGCAGUCUGAUUUUUCAUCUUGGCUGU